GACGAACGCUGGCGGCGUGCUUAACACAUGCAAGUCGGACGGUUUGCGCUGGAAGGUUCGCUGGAAGGCGCAGAUAGUGGCGGACGGGUGAGUAACGCGUGAGGACAUGUCUGCAGGAGGGGGAUAACGUUUGGAAACGGACGCCAAGACCCCGUAUGCCGGAGGGUGAAAGUGGUGAAAGCCAGCCUGUGGAGUGACUCGCGUCCUAUCAGCUAGUUGGCGGGGUGAAGGCCCACCAAGGCGAUGACGGGUAGCCGACCUGAGAGGAUGACCAGCCACACUGGAACUGAGACACGGUCCAGACUCCUACGGGAGGCAGCAGUGGGGAAUAUUGCACAAUGGGCGCAAGCCUGAUGCAGCCAUGCCGCGUGUAUGAAGAAGGCCUUCGGGUUGUAAAGUACUUUCAGCGGGGAGGAAGGGAGUAAAGUUAAUACCUUUGCUCAUUGACGUUACCCGCAGAAGAAGCACCGGCUAACUCCGUGCCAGCAGCCGCCGUAA
rnacentral:rRNA from 1 species